CGCCUGGGGAGUACGGUCGCAAGAUUGGAACUCAAAUGAAUUGACGGGGGCCCGCACAAGCGGUGGAGCAUGUGGUUUAAUUCGAUGCAACGCGAAGAACCUUACCUACUCUUGACAUUCAGAGAACCUUUUAGAGAUAGAAGGGUGCCUUCGGGAACUCUGAGACAGGUGCUGCAUGGCUGUCGUCAGCUCGUGUUGUGAAAUGUUGGGUUAAGUCCCGCAACGAGCGCAACCCUUAUCCUUGUUUGCCAGCACUUCGGGUGGGAACUCCAGGGAGACUGCCGGUGAUAAACCGGAGGAAGGUGGGGACGACGUCAAGUCACCAUGGCCCUUACGAGUAGGGCUACACACGUGCUACAAUGGCAUAUACAGAGGGCUGCCAACUCGCGAGAGUGAGCGAAUCCCAUAAAGUAUGUCGUAGUCCGGAUUGGAGUCUGCAACUCGACUCCAUGAAGUCGGAAUCGCUAGUAAUCGUGGAUCAGAAUGCCACGGUGAAUACGUUCCCGGGCCUUGAACACACCGCCCGUC
rnacentral:rRNA from 1 species